rnacentral:misc_RNA from 1 species
GAUGAAGAACGUAGCGAAAUGCGAUAAGUAAUGUGAAUUGCAGAAUUCAGUGAAUCAUCGAAUCUUUGAACGCACAUUGCGCCCGCCAGUAUUCUGGCGGGCAUGCCUGUUCGAGCGUCAUUUCAACCCUCAAGCCCCAGCGGCCUGGUGUUGGGGACCGGCGACCUCGCCCGAGCCCGCCCUCCGGGGCGCGUGCCCGGUGCAUCCGCCGCCCCCGAAAUGAAUUGGCGGCCUCGUCGCGGCCUCCUCUGCGUAGUAGCACAACCUCGCAAGCGGGAGCGCGACGCGGCCACUGCCGUAAAACGCCCAACUUUUUUAGAGUUGACCUCGGAUCAGGUAGGAAUACCCGCUGAACUUAAGCAUAUCAAUAAGCGGAGGA